CCUACGGGGGACUGCAGUAGGGAAUUUUGCGCAAUGGGCGAAAGCCUGACGCAGCAACGCCGCGUGAUUGAUUAAGCCCUUCGGGGUGUAAAGAUCUGUCAGUGGGGACGAAACUUGACGGUACCCACAGAGGAAGCACCGGCUAACUCCGUGCCAGCAGCCGCGGUAAUACGGAGGGUGCAAGCGUUGUCCGGAAUCAUUGGGCGUAAAGAGUUCGUAGGUGGCAUAUUAAGUCUGGUGUUAAAUGCAGAAGCUCAACUUCUGUUCGGCACUGGAUACUGGUAAGCUUGAAUGCGGUAGAGGUAAAGGGAAUUCCUGGUGUAGCGGUGAAAUGCGUAGAUAUUAGGAGGAACACCAGUGGCGAAGGCGGCUUACUGGACUGUAACUGACGUUGAGGCUCGAAAGCGUGGGGAGCAAACAGGAUUAGAUACCCGUGUAGUC
rnacentral:rRNA from 1 species